rnacentral:rRNA from 1 species
UUGGAGGGCAAGUCUGGUGCCAGCAGCCGCGGUAAUUCCAGCUCCAAUAGCGUAUAUUAAAGUUGCUGCAGUUAAAAAGCUCGUAGUUGAAUUUCGGGACCAUCAUGUCGGUCGUGCCUCGGUACGUACUGGCAUCGUCGGUUUCUCCCUUCUGACGAACCAUAAUGUCAUUUAUUUGGUGUUGUGGGGAAUCAGGACUGUUACUUUGAAAAAAUUAGAGUGUUUAAAGCAGGCUCACGCUUGAAUACAUUAGCAUGGAAUAAUGAAAUAGGACGUUUGAUUCUAUUUUGUUGGUUUCUAGGAUCGACGUAAUGAUUAAUAGGGAUAGUUGGGGGCAUUAGUAUUCAAUUGUCAGAGGUGAAAUUCUUGGAUUUAUUGAAGACUAACUACUGCGAAAGCAUUUGCCAAGGAUGUUUUCAUUAAUCAAGAACGAAAGUUAGGGGAUCGAAGACGAUCAGAUACCGUCGUAGUCUUAACCAUAAACUAUGCCGACUAGGAAUCAGACGAUGUUAAUUUUUUAAUGACUCGUUUGGCACCUUACGGGAAACCAAAGUGUUUGGGUUC